rnacentral:rRNA from 1 species
ACGUAGGGUGCAAGCGUUGUCCGGAAUUAUUGGGCGUAAAGAGCUCGUAGGCGGUCUGUCGCGUCGGAUGUGAAAAUCCAGGGCUCAACCCUGGACCUGCAUUCGAUACGGGCAGACUAGAGUUCGGCAGGGGAGACUGGAAUUCCUGGUGUAGCGGUGAAAUGCGCAGAUAUCAGGAGGAACACCAAUUGCGAAGGCAGCUCGCUGGGACGUUACUGACGCUGAGACGCGAAAGCGUGGGGAGCAAACCGGA